GCCAGACUCCUACGGGAGGCAGCAGUGGGGAAUAUUGGGCAAUGGGCGCAAGCCUGACCCAGCAACGCCGCGUGUAGGAAGAAGGCUUUCGGGUUGUAAACUUCUUUUAAGAGGGAAGAGAAGAAGACGGUACCUCUUGAAUAAGCCACGGCUAACUACGUGCCAGCAGCCGCGGUAAUACGUAGGUGGCAAGCGUUGUCCGGAUUUACUGGGUGUAAAGGGCGUGUAGCCGGGCUGACAAGUCAGAUGUGAAAUCCGGGGGCUCAACCCCCGAACUGCAUUUGAAACUGUUGGUCUUGAGUAUCGGAGAGGCAGGCGGAAUUCCUAGUGUAGCGGUGAAAUGCGUAGAUAUAAGGAAGAACACCAGUGGCGAAGGCGGAUGACUGGACGGCAACUGACGGUGAGGCGCGAAAGCGUGGGGAGCAAACAGGAUUAGAUACCCUAGUAC
rnacentral:rRNA from 1 species